AUUGAACGCUGGCGGCAGGCCUAACACAUGCAAGUCGAGCGGAUGAAGGGAGCUUGCUCCUGGAUUCAGCGGCGGACGGGUGAGUAAUGCCUAGGAAUCUGCCUGGUAGUGGGGGAUAACGCCGGGAAACGGGCGCUAAUACUGCAUACUUCCUGAGGGAGAAGGUGGGGGAUUUUGGGACCUCACCCUACCAUAUGGGCCUAGGUCGGAUUGGCUAGUUGGUGGGGUAAAGGCCUGCCAAGGCGACGAUCCGUAACUGGUCUGAGAGGAUGAUCAGUCACACUGGAACUGAGACACGGUCCAGACUCCUACGGGAGGCAGCAGUGGGGAAUAUUGGACAAUGGGCGAAAGCCUGAUCCAGCCAUGCCGCGUGUGUGAAGAAGGUCUUCGGAUUGUAAAGCACUUUAAGUUGGGAGGAAGGGCAGUAAGUUAAUACCUUGCUGUUUUGACGUUACCAACAGAAUAAGCACCGGCUAACUUCGUG
rnacentral:rRNA from 1 species